rnacentral:rRNA from 1 species
GCAACUCGACUACAUGAAGCUGGAAUCGCUAGUAAUCGCAGAUCAGAAUGCUGCGGUGAAUACGUUCCCGGGUCUUGUACACACCGCCCGUCACACCAUGGGAGUCGGAAAUGCCCGAAGCCGGUGACCCAACCAAAAGGAGGGAGCCGUCGAAGGCAGGUCUGAUAACUGGGGUGAAGUCGUAACAAGGUAGC